AGUGCGUAAAGAAUCUACCAACACUUAUCUGUCAACACUUAAAGACCGCAGGAUGCAGAUAAAGACAGUGUGCCACAGGACCUUGCUGUACAAAGGAUGAAAAUUUACAGCAUCCAUACUAAUCUGUCAGAGGGUACAGAGGACAUCGGAAUUGUAAUAGAUGGUACAAAGGUUCUGACCGCUCUGGGUAACUUUCCAAGAGCUUCUGCCAUGCUUGUUGGUUUGACGUAUGCAGUGAAUCUUGCCUAUCCCAAGGAGCUCAGGUACACUUUCGAAGCCUUUCAGAAACUCUUCCUGGAGCUGGACUGCUCAAAACUUUCUCCAAAAGUGAACAGCCUCAAGAGCAAGCUACUGGCUUAAGAAAGGGAGCCUAAAUACACUGGUGUGCUCAGUUAUUCUGUGUGUUCAAGUGUUCAAGU